GAGGAUAUAGCUCAGUGGUAGAGUGCAUCCUUCACAUGUAUGGGGUCCUGGGUUCAAUCCCCAGUACCUCCA
rnacentral:tRNA from 1 species